AUGAGAUUUGUAAAUUAUUCCAUUCCUUUUUUACUCACAAUUUGUACAGUGUCCCAACUUUUUUGGAAUCGGGUUUGUAUGUUGUUGUGGAUAAUGGAGGAAUCUCUUGCAGUUUUACAGCUUAAAGAGCAUGUACUAUAUAAUGUUGAAGGUGAUAAUCAGACUUCUCUCCAUCAUUUGCACAGAAUGCUGCUGUUUUAUACGAGUGUGUCUGAAGAGCGACCCAGAGCAGAGGUUUCAUCUGGAGGAGAUGCUCUUUCAUUACUGGUUCAAGGUCCCCCUGUAGGUCAUGGAGAAGAGGGUCAGCUUUUCGUCUGAUGGGGUGACAAGGGUGGCCCCUCCAUCCCUCCACCCUAAGUGUCUUGCGGGGGUGGCAGGUCACACUGGCUUGAGGUGGUAGUUUUAGCGUCUUGCAGAACUACUUGCCUAAGGAUGUGUACAUAUUGUAAAUAGUUUAGUUUUGGGUUAGUUAAGCUAGCUGCUCCAUCCCUCCAGCCUUAGCAUUUUGCAGGGCUGGCAGGUCUUUGUUGCGUCUGGCAGUUUGGCUUGAGGUGGUAGUUUUAGCGUCUUGCGGAAUUACUUGCCUAGGGAUAUGUAAUGUAAAUAGUUAGUUUAGUUUUUGUUAAGUUAGAUUAAUUGGGUAUUGCUUCCUUCUAAUCAUAUUUUUAAUAAUGGAGUCCCUGUCAAGGUCCCUACAAGCCCCUUUCACUGCCGCCCCAGAGGUUCCUGCCACUGGCAUCCGAUCCCAGAAAUCUGUGUCACGAAUGCAUGAGAGGUUUCAGACAUGGCCACAGCUCCCUUUCCCAGCUGCCUUGGGUUCAGAGAUCUUGUCAGGGCUACUCCAGAAAUCCCAGUUAAGGCUGCCAUUAAGUUUCCUGUCACUGCUGCUUCAGAACCUGCUGAGGCUCCAGAGAGGGUCCUGACUUGAAAGUCCCAGGAUGCCCAUUUCACAGCUCUGCUGGUCCCAGAGGUCCCUCACACUGCCACUCCAAAGUUUCCUCCCACAGGCAAACGGGAUCAAACACGGGAUGCUUGGAAAGCUGCUCAGAAAAAGUGCCAUUAAGGUGCUUUUCCACUGCAUGGUACGACUCGGCAAAUCUCAGUACGGUACGCCUCGGCUUGCAUUUCCACUGUAGUGUAGUAUCGCUUUAGAGUGGGCAGGAUCAUUCACAUCAUUCUCGCUGGAUCUGCUCCUCUGCUAUCAACGAGAGUAACGUCUGUACUUCCGCAAAAGACAACAAUAUUUUUUGGUUGUUAAAAAAGGUGCGCUUGCUCAAAACAGUUGCGUUUGAUCCUUCGCUGGCUGUGCUGAUUUAAAUCUAGCGGUUCUUUUGUGUUUGUGUCACAAGUUCAGUGAUGCAGAUAGUGACGAUUCUCUCCGGCCAAUCAGUGUUCAGCAGAGUUUAGACGUCACAUUUUGGUAACGGUACGGUUUACUUGGAACCUCAACCAAAGUGGUACUAAAAAGUAACAGGUACUGUACCCAGUGGAACCCCCCCCCCCCCCACCCAAAAGUGAACCGUACCAAGUUGUACAACGCCGUACCAUGCAGUGGAAAAGUGCCAAUUGAGAGUUAUGGACAAAGAGUUGAUUACUUUUUUAGUUGAUUACAUUGAUUACUUACUUAUUAAUGUCUGAAGUAAAAGAUGUUGACAAUUUCUGAAUUAGUUCUUGACAAGGAAAGUGCGUAAUUUUAUCGUUUUUGGGUGCCAAAGAAACAUAGGUGGUCUAUUUUAAAUGAAGCAUGUCUUUUGGCCAAACGUAAGUAUUGCAUAUUUUAGUAUAGUUUCACAUUUAAUAAAAGAGUCAGAUUACCUUGUAAAUUCCCA
ensembl:lncRNA